rnacentral:rRNA from 1 species
AUUGAACGCUGGCGGCAUGCCUUACACAUGCAAGUCGAACGGCAGCACGGGAGCAAUCCUGGUGGCGAGUGGCGAACGGGUGAGUAAAGUAUCGGAACGUGCCCAGUCGUGGGGGAUAACGUAGCGAAAGUUACGCUAAUACCGCAUACGAUCUAUGGAUGAAAGCGGGGGAUCGCAAGACCUCGCGCGAUUGGAGCGGCCGAUAUCGGAUUAGGUAGUUGGUGGGGUAGAGGCUCACCAAGACGACGAUCUGUAGCUGGUCUGAGAGGACGACCAGCCACACUGGGACUGAGACACGGGCCAGACUCCUACGGGAGGCAGCAGUGGGGAAUUUUGGACAAUGGGCGAAAGCCUGAUCCAGCCAUGCCGCGUGCAGGAUGAAGGCCUUCGGGUUGUAAACUGCUUUUGUACGGAACGAAAAGGUUUGGCCUAAUAAGCUGAGCUCGUGACGGUACCGUAAGAACAAGCACCGGCUAACUACGUGCCAGCCGCCGCGGUAA